UUGAUCCUGGCUCAGAACGAACGCUGGCGGCAAGCCUAACACAUGCAAGUCGAACGGACAAUUGUUUAUAACCUUUUGGUUAUAAAUAAUUGUUAGUGGCAGACGGGUGAGUAAUGCGUAGGAAUCUACCUAGUAGUAUGGAAUAGCCAUUAGAAAUGAUGGGUAAUACUGUAUAAUCCCUGCGGGGGAAAGAUUUAUCGCUAUUAGAUGAGCCUACGUUAGAUUAGCUAGUUGGUAAGGUAAUGGCUUACCAAGGCUAUGAUCUAUAGCUGGUCUGAGAGGACGAUCAGCCACACUGGAACUGAGAUACGGUCCAGACUCCUACGGGAGGCAGCAGUGGGGAAUAUUGGACAAUGGGCGAAAGC
rnacentral:rRNA from 1 species